AGGCUAGGGUUGGUAGGAUUGCACAGAUUUCCGGGUUCCACGAAGACAGCAGAUCAACAGCCCUUUAGACUUUUCAUUCAAGACAGAGUGCCGGUCAGUUAUAGCCUGUAGGUCAUUGCAUUACUUCUAUCCUCUCUCCAUCUGUGAUGGAAAACGCCCGUUGUUUUGCCAACCGUUUCACUGACUACAAAGGUGCGCUUCUCGUUGGUCAAGGCGUCGAAACGGUCGUACCUACGGUCAAUGCCUUUAUAGAUACAAUUCUAAAAAAUGUGCCGCUCGGACCAUCUGACUGCGACGGUGGGCUAUACGACGGGCCCGCGGGUGCAGCGUACAUGCUGUAUCACGUCUCCGAAUGUGCUUUCUUUACAUACUAUAGGGAUGCCUAUCUCAAAAUCGCAAAGCAGAUCAUUGACGUGUCUAUGGCGUAUGUGGACGGAGAGAAGGACAAAAACAUGAAAGCCGCCUUUCUCCUAGGCGGUGCGGGCAUCUACGCUGUCGCGGCAAUGGUGUAUAAAGCAUUGGGCUUGGCGGACUUCGUCAAGCCGCUCACCAAAUUUCGUAGCCUAUGGGAGGUGUGCUCACCCAUCAAUUUCCUGGAGUGCGGGUCUGACGAGCUGUUCGUUGGGCGGGCUGGGUAUCUAUGCGGUGCCCUGGUGCUGAAACAGAAACUGGGUAUAGAGAUUCUUAGCAAGGAUCAAAUCCAAGCCAUUUGUGGGGCUGUUGUGGAGUCUGGUAAACAAUAUGCCCUGAGGAAGAGAAAACCCUCCCCCCUCAUGUACUCCUACUAUGGAACUGAGUAUCUGGGUGCAGCCCAUGGUCUGUCUUCUGUGCUUCAAAUGCUGCUGUGUUACCAGGAUAUGCUGACUGAGGGAGACAGGGAUCUUGUCUGGCAGAGUGUGGACUUCCUCAUGAACCAGGAGCAGAACUGCAACUGGCCGGCUGAGCUGGGAUCCGUGAUAGAGAGGGAGAAUGAGCUGAUACACUGGUGCCAUGGAGCCCCAGGUGUGGCCUACCUCUUUGCCAAAGCAUACCUGAUCAAUAAGAAGCCCCAAUACUUGGACACCUGCAUCCGCAGCGGGGAGCUGGUGUGGCAGAAGGGUCUGCUGAAGAAAGGGCCCGGGAUUUGUCACGGGGUGUCUGGGAGCGCCUAUGUUUUUCUGCUGCUGUACCGCCUCACAGGGAACUCCAAGUACAUCUACCGUGCCCAGAGGCAAGGACACUUAGCAGAACUCAAAACAGCUGUUUUCUGACUGUCUGUCUUCUAACACUUCUACAUGUAUCAACCCAGCUUCUCUCAUGUCCCCCCCCCCAUGUCUCACCUGUGAUCAAAAACAAUAUUGUAAUAACUGCUUGUCUGGCUUCCACAAAUAUUUUAUGUUAGUUUGUUUUAACUCCAAACUCGUUAAAUUGUCAGAUGUCUUGUAGUUCUGUUUGGCUUCUUCUUCUUCAGCUGCGGUCUUCAUCUUCCUCUCCAUCUGUGGGUCUUCUUCCUCUUCAUUCGCACUGAUCUGCAAACAAUUUUUCUAGGUUUCAGUUGUUGAAAUUGAUGGGAUAGGGCUUGUAAGCAUUUCAUGGUUUGCAGAGUUCCUGUUUACAGAGGAAUUUAAAGUGGGCUCCUGCUCAAUCACCAGUGUUUACAGUCUGUUCGAGGGGCUGUCUGGAACAGUCUGCUUCCUAGUUGACCUCCUUCAGCCCGACCAAUCAGAGUUCCCACUCUUCAGUGUGUUUGUGUGAAUAAGGUUCUGACCAGCACUUAAAAUCAUCCUUUCCCUCUAUCGUUAAGGAUGACUCACCCCAGAAUCAAGAUUAGACUAGUUGUGUGAUCAUUGAUCGUGCUUUAUUAGUGGUGAAGAGCUUGUUUCUCUUGAUUAACUGUAAUAUUGUUUUAUUUGUAUGUGUUUGUCAUUCCCUUUAAUAAUUUUAUAUCAGGCCCUGUUACAACCCUGUUACUACUGGUUUCAUGCAGAUUUCCCCUGAUCUUGUUCACAAACGUAGACCAUGAAUAUGCAUUGGGAUCUUAUUGUAAUCUUAUUGUAAUCUUUGUGAACAGAUGAAGUCUGAUAAAGAACGCAUAUUAAUAGAAAGGAUACAUGUGUUGCAAUAUGUGAUGAUGAGGAUGUUGCUGUCAAAAUGGACUAACUCUUAGAACAGCUCUCUGCACUGGGCUAUUUCCUCUCAGGGCAAAUACAAAAGCCUCCCCUCGGAUGAUUAUUGAUAGUUUCAACUGCCACAGAAUGCCUUUAGAAAUAGUUUAACCACUUCACCAGCUGAGCCUGAUAAAGUGCUCUAACCAGAGGUCUUUUACGGAUACAAGAUACAACAUAAUAUUAGAACAUAGUCAAGGAAAAUAUCAAAGGAGAUUAUAGGUUUUACACUGUCCCCCCCAUAUGGUUUAUUUUGGAUGGUGUUAAACACAAGUAAAUAUGGUCAUUUCUGUCAACUAAAUCCUACAGCGUUUGAUCUCUUGACAUUUCAUUGAAAAUAUCUUCCAACUCACUGAAGUGAACGAUUUUAACAUGGCCUGUAUGCUUAAUAGUAUGGCGACAGCCAUACACUUUUUUCCCCCCUGAUAUUUUGUAAGCUACUUUCCAGUUUUAAAGGCAAUUUCAAAUGCCCAAUUUCUUAAAGACUCUGUGAACUAGCUUCAUUAAGCUAACAGACCAGCAUGGCAGUGUUUAUGCAGUGCUUGUUGUUCCAGUGGUCAGGAGAACCCACAUUGGGCAUACCAACAGGACAAGGCCUCUCAUGGGUAUUAUGUCCCCUUUUCAGACUAAGAAGUCUUUGUGUUGGGAUCACAUUGCAUGAACAUUGCUAUUGGGGUUUUAAUGAAUCCCAGCCUAAACUAGUUCAUAUCUGUGAUGCAAUUGUUUUUAAUUGUGUCAUUAUAAUUUGUUCUAAGGUCAAUGUUUCCAUGUGUUGUCUAGCUAAUGGU